rnacentral:rRNA from 1 species
GAUGAACGCUAGCUACAGGCUUAACACAUGCAAGUCGAGGGGCAGCACUAGGUAGCAAUGCUGAGGUGGCGACCGGCGCACGGGUGCGUAACGCGUAUCCAACCUUCCCGAUACUCUUGGAUAGCCUUCCGAAAGGGAGAUUAAUACAAGAUGGUGUUUCACUUUCGCAUGUUAUCGAAACUAAAGAUUUAUCGGUAUCGGAUGGGGAUGCGUGACAUUAGGUAGAUGGCGGGGUAACGGCCCACCAUGCCUACGAUGUCUAGGGGUUCUGAGAGGAGGGUCCCCCACACUGGAACUGAGACACGGUCCAA